AUGCUCUUUACUGUCCAAGGCUCCACCCUGUUCUUUGGGUUUUUUAAAAAGACAUAUUUGCAUCCUCCUAAGGAGCCAGGACUUUGGAGCGAGAGGGAACCCAGCACAGAGGCUGAAGGCAUGGAAACCAUAGGCUCAUACAAUGGUUGUCCCAGCAGCAAACCAGGAAGGAGACCUCACUUCUGUGCUCAAGUCCUCACGUUAUCAUUUGAGAUAACUUGGGGGCUUCCCUGGUGGCUCAGCAGUGAAGAAUCUGCCUGCAAUGCAGGAGAUGCAGGAGGCGUCUGUUGGAUCCCUGGGUCAGGAAGAUCCCCUGGAGGAGGGCAUAGCAGCCCACUCCAGUAUUUUUGCCUGGAAACUCCCAUGGACAGUGAAGACUGGUGGGCUACAGUCUAUAGGGUCGCAAAGAAUCGGACAUGACUGAAGUGACUUGGCACACAUGAACACAGGUAGCUUGGGACCCUUAAUGUCUCUAGGAAAUGGCAAAAUUGGGUCUUUCCCUUAGGAAACUCCAGGAAAAUCCUAGCAUUUCAUAACUAUUUACUACAAGAAGUUGUUUUUUUUUUUUCCUUUUCUUUUGUUAUUCAGUUAGUGAAAGAACAAGUAGUUAGCAAACUUUGGGCACCAGGCUAAUACUACAGACACCAUGAUGGAAAAGGAGAAAAUCUCUGCCCCAAGGAGUGGUGGCUGUUGUGUUUGGUUGAUUUACCCACCCCUCCUUCCUGCCUCCCCAACUGGUGAUAUAAAAGCCCCAGGUGGCCUGAGUUGGGUUGCUGUCUGUAGAGCAGGAAAAGGAAACAGUAAACAUUCUGCUGAGUUGAUGUAGCCCAGGGAUUCGGCAAUUUCAACCACACCAAUUACAGCAUUUUCUGUCAGGAUUGACCUUUAAGGAGAUUGCCUCAAUUAUAAA
rnacentral:lncRNA from 1 species